rnacentral:rRNA from 1 species
CAUUAAUGAAUGAACUUGGCUUGGUUGUUGCUGGUCUCUUCGGAGGCAUGUGCACACCUUGUCAUCUUUAUAUCUCCACCUGUGCACCUUUUGUAGACCUGGAUUCAACUUUCCGAGGCAACUCGGUCGUGAGGAAUUGCUUAAUGGCUUUCCUUGAAAGUCUCCAGGCCUAUGUUUUCAUAUACACCAUAAGAAUGUAACAGAAUGUCAUUAUUAGACUUAUGUCUUAUAAACUAUAUACAACUUUCAGCAACGGAUCUCUUGGCUCUCGCAUCGAUGAAGAACGCAGCGAAAUGCGAUAAGUAAUGUGAAUUGCAGAAUUCAGUGAAUCAUCGAAUCUUUGAACGCACCUUGCGCUCCUUGGUAUUCCGAGGAGCAUGCCUGUUUGAGUGUCAUUAAAUUCUCAACCUUUAUCAACUUUUUAAGUAGAUAAAUGGCUUGGAUGUGGGGGUUGCCGGUUUCUCUUUUGAAAUCAGCUCUCCUGAAAUAUAUUAGCUGGUUGCCUUGUGUAAACCUGUCUAUUGGUGUGAUAAUUAUCUACGCCGUGGACUAUUUACCGUUUUUAAGCACUGCUUCUAACCGUCUGUUCAUUCGGACAAUCUAUGACAAUUUGACCU